UACGAAGGGGGCUAGCGUUGCUCGGAAUCACUGGGCGUAAAGGGUGCGUAGGCGGGUCUUUAAGUCAGGGGUGAAAUCCUGGAGCUCAACUCCAGAACUGCCUUCGAUACUGAGAGUCUCGAGUCCGGGAGAGGUGAGUGGAACUGCGAGUGUAGAGGUGAAAUUCGUAGAUAUUCGCAAGAACACCAGUGGCGAAGGCGGCUCACUGGCCCGGUACUGACGCUGAGGUGACGAAAGCGUGGGGAGCAAACAGG
rnacentral:rRNA from 1 species